rnacentral:tRNA from 1 species
AAAUCUUAAAUUAAUUAAACUGCAAAUUUAACAAAGAAAUUAAAAUUCUAAGAUUUUU